rfam:Triticum aestivum genome assembly, contig: Triticum_aestivum_CS42_TGACv1_scaffold_131529_2BL
AUCAUACUCCCUCCAUCACAAAAUUCUUAUCUUAGAUUUGUCGAAAUACGGAUGUAUCCAGUCAUGUUUUAGUAUGAGAUACAUCUGUAUCUAGACAAAUCUAAGACAAGAAUUUUGGGACGGAGGGAGUAUAAA